UACGGGGGGGGCAAGCGUUGUUCGGAAUUACUGGGCGUAAAGGGCGCGUAGGCGGUUCGCUAAGUUGGAUGUGAAAACUCUGGGCUCAACCCAGAGCCUGCAUCCAAAACUGGCGGGCUAGAGUUCUGGAGGGGGUAGCGGAAUUCCUGGUGUAGCGGUGAAAUGCGUAGAUAUCGGGAGGAACACCGGUGGCGAAGGCGGUUCUCUGGGCCUUACCUGACGCUGAGGAGCGAAAGCGUGGGGAGCGAACAGG
rnacentral:rRNA from 1 species